GCCUCGAUAGCUCAGUCGGUAGAGCAGAGGAUUGAAAAUCCUCGUGUCGGUGGUUCGAUUCCGAUUCCGCCUCGAGGCACCA
rnacentral:tRNA from 1 species